GGCUGGGUAGCUAAGUUGGUUAGAGCAUUGUCCCAUAUGCCAAGGUUCUGGGUUCAACUCCCAGUCAGGGCA
rnacentral:tRNA from 1 species